AUGUUCCAGCAACUGAAAGAGGUGUUGAUUCAUUUCAGGCCUAGUUUGUCUAUGAUGAAGUUCAACCCACCACAGAGGGACUCAGGGGAACUCCACUGUGGGCUCCAGGUCUGUGAUUUAUGUUUUGCCUGUGCUUUUCUCUGCACUGUUGAGAGGGAGGUAGACAUCAGAUGUGUCUAGCUCAAAAGAUAAUGCACAGGACAGAACAAAGGUGGGCAAGAAGAUCUUGUAGGUGCAAACCAAACGCUGAUGAUGAAACAACCAGCAAAGUGAAGCAACUACAACAGCAACAGCAAUCCUCUGGAAUCAGGUCCAAAAGGCAGACCUUGGCAGUGGUAUCCCUGGAGAACACACAUCAGCAUCUAACCCUGGUACGGAAGAAUGUGGGCUUCUUCCUACUCAGUCUCAAAGGAAGAACCUGGACCUUCUAGAGCUGCUAACAUUGAGGAAAGCAGGAUGGGGGAUAGAGAAAAACAAAUUUCAUGUUACAUGGAUUGAGCUGCCAGAUCAAGUUUCUGCUGAAGUAAGUGGUGCCAACAAAGGUCUGUCUAGCCAAAGCUUUGGAUUUUCCAGUGGUCAUGUAUGGAUGUGAGAGUUGGACUAUAAAGAAAGCUGAGCACCGAAGAAUUGAUUCUUUUGACUGUGGUGUUGGAGAAGACUUUUGAGAAUCCCUUGGACUGCAAGGAGAUCCAACCAGUCCAUCCUAAAGGAGAUCAGUCCUGAAUAUUCAUUGGAAGGACUGAUGCUAAAGCUGAAAUUCCAAUACUUUGGCCACCUGAUGCGAAGAACUUACUUGUUUGAAAAGACCCUGAUGCUGGGAAAGAUUGAAGGCGGGAGGAAAAUGGGGUGACAGAGGAUGAGAUGGUUGGAUGGCAUCACCAACUCAAUGGACAUGAGUUUGAGUAAGCUCCAGGAGCUGGUGAUGGACAGGGAGGCCUGGCGUGCUGAAGUCCAUGGGUUUGCAAAGUGUUGGACACGACCGAGCAACUGAACUGAACUGAACUGAAAGCAGUGAGUUCCCCUUCACUCCACCCUCCAUAAUUUUAUGAUAAACUUAUGGCUGGCUCAAGAUCCACAUUGUUCCAAGAUGACAAUACCCUGGAAUACAAGCAGCUUUCCUUACACCCAAUUCAAAGUAUUAUUUCAUUUGUCCAUGAAUUUUUCAGGGAGCAUCAGUGUAUGGUCACUGAAGGUAGGGACACUAGAAAUGCUGCAUUAAUCACACUAUUAGUGCAGGAGAAACAAUUUCCAUUUCCUACAGGUAAUCUGCCAACUAUAAAACUUGUCAACCAAAACAUAUAUAAAGUUUGUAUUAACAAACUCUUAAAAAUAGUAAAACAGUUUUUCAGAAAAUUAUAACUACCUAUAUACAUAAAAUUUGUGGGUCCUUGAA
ensembl:lncRNA